AAACAGCAUCCGGAUUAGAGAAACUACCAAUGUCGGUGGAGUUACGUCUCUCUUCUUCCCCAUUCUUUAAAUGUCCUCGUGUACAUCCAUGUGAAUGUGGGUGUAUUCACGAGGACCCCCUUUCUCCUAUUCCGACUGGUGGAUUCUACUAGUCUGCGGAUGGAUGGAGCCCAGACUUGUGGUUUGGAUACCUGGCCGUAUUUCCCAGGCUUAAAGGCGUGGGGCUGAUGCUCGGGUCCCGGAUCGAUAAAGACCGGCGUGAAAGAGCAACAGGGAGAGCGACCCCCCAUCGCCACCCAUCAAACAAGAAAAGGAGAGAAAAACCUACUUGCUGCUAAUCUACGCGCCCGUCGUCCCAACUUAGAUGUGUUUCUUUUCUUCUCCGACAUGUCCUAAAGCGGGGCGGCGAGGGUCCGCUUGUGUGUGUGUUGUUUUUUGAUCCGCAGCAGCAGCCAAACGGAUGGAUGGAUGGCGAACGUGAUGGCACGAUCGCCUCAUCAACAGUAUCCCGGCAAGUUUGGCAUUUUAUUUUUUCCUUCCUUCUUUCUUUCUUCUUAGUCGUCGUCGUGUGUGUUUAUGUACACAAGUUCGGCAACUAGCUAACGUGGCGUGUAUUGCUAAUAUAAAAAGCGAAACGAGCCAGCGAGCUCGCUUGUUAUUCUGUGUACGCAUU